CAUCAUACAAUAUCUAAACCAAUAAUAGGCUCUCCUGUUUUUUAAGCAGAUAACAAUUCAAAUAGAUUCCGGUGAGUAAUUGGAUCAAUGGGUGCAACAAUACAGGAGUUGUACACUUGUAUGAUUUUUCAUCAACUAAUCAACGUGGGCCUACCGUCUAAGCAUACACCACCAAAGAUUGCGACUGUCUAUCAAAUGCAUUACCAAGAGAUCAUCAAAAGCCAUAACUAAAGAAAUAAAAGGGAGAAAAAAUAAAAACAUAUAUGAGAAAGUUCCAGCUAUAGGACGGAAAUAAACAAGAAUACCAAAGUUUAAACCUUUUACCUGUUGACGAAACAUGGGCGAAUCGUCAAGUCUGGCGAAUAACAUCUUCCCUUCUUGCAUAUUUAUUCAAACCAACAUUAAUUUCUUGAGACACAUUCAAAUCCCCCAAAAGAAAAACUCUAAUAAUCAAAAAUAGUAGAUGAUUCUUGAAAAGAGAAUGUGUGAUUAAGAUAAAAAAGAAAAUAGAGAAGAUGAAAAUAGUAAGUGGGUUUAAUGUUUAGAAGGAGAAGAGAUGAGAGCGAAAAUGGAGGAAACAAAUAUUGCUGGACAAAUGGGGACCAUACUGCGAUAUUUAAUGCCUGUCACCAAAAUACUACUCUGUCUCUCUCUUUUCCCUUUCCCUUUAGGAGUUGGUUUUUAUUUUUUAACGCGCAGAGAAGAAGGCAAAACAACAAGGUACGGAAUGACAUUUUAACUGUUAUAUUGGGCGCCA
rnacentral:lncRNA from 1 species